ensembl:snoRNA small nucleolar RNA, H/ACA box 2C
GUGGCCCUGACUGAAGACCAGCAGUUACACUAUAGCUGUUGGUUUCAAGCAGAGGCCUAAAAAACUUAUCUUCUAUGGUUCAUUGGCUGUUCUGGGAUCUUAGUUGAGAAUGGCUGUUUCAUUUGGAAGAAACAAUC